rnacentral:rRNA from 1 species
GGACCAGCGGCGGACGGGUGAGUAAUGCUUAGGAAUCUGCCUAUUAGUGGGGGACAACNUUCCGAAAGGAACGCUAAUACCGCAUACGCCCUACGGGGGAAAGCAGGGGAUCUUCGGACCUUGCGCUAAUAGAUGAGCCUAAGUCGGAUUAGCUAGUUGGUGGGGUAAAGGCCUACCAAGGCGACGAUCUGUAGCGGGUCUGAGAGGAUGAUCCGCCACACUGGGACUGAGACACGGCCCAGACUCCUACGGGAGGCAGCAGUGGGGAAUAUUGGACAAUGGGCGCAAGCCUGAUCCAGCCAUGCCGCGUGUGUGAAGAAGGCCUUUUGGUUGUAAAGCACUUUAAGCGAGGAGGAGGCUCCUUUAGUUAAUACCUAAAGNGAGUGGACGUUACUCGCAGAAUAAGCACCGGCUAACUCUGUGCCAGCAGCCGCGGUAAUACAGAGGGUGCGAGCGUUAAUCGGAUUUACUGGGCGUAAAGCGUGCGUAGGCGGCUUUUUAAGUCGGAUGUGAAAUCCCUGAGCUUAACUUAGGAAUUGCAUUCGAUACUGGAAAGCUAGAGUAUGGGAGAGGAUGGUAGAAUUCCAGGUGUAGCGGUGAAAUGCGUAGAGAUCUGGAGGAAUACCGAUGGCGAAGGCAGCCAUCUGGCCUAAUACUGACGCUGAGGUACGAAAGCAUGGGGAGCAAACAGGAUUAGAUACCCUGGUAGUCCAUGCCGUAAACGAUGUCUACUAGCCGUUGGGGCCUUUGAGGCUUUAGUGGCGCAGCUAACGCGAUAAGUAGACCGCCUGGGGAGUACNGUCGCAAGACUAAAACUCAAAUGAAUUUGACGGGGGCCCCCGCACAAGCGGUGGAGCAUGUGGUUNAAUUCGAUGCAACGCGAANAANCCUUUACCUGGCCUUGACAUACUAAGAACUUUCCAGAGAUGGAUUGGUGCCUUCGGGAACUUAGAUACAGGUGCUGCAUGGCUGUCGUCAGCUCGUGUCGUGAGAUGUUGGGUUAAGUCCCGCAACGAGCGCAACCCUUUUCCUUAUUUGCCAGCGGGUAAAGCNGGNA